rnacentral:rRNA from 1 species
CCUACGGGUGGCAGCAGUGAGGAAUAUUGGUCAAUGGGCGCGAGCCUGAACCAGCCAAGUCGCGUGCGGGAUGACGGCCCUAUGGGUUGUAAACCUCUUUUGUAGGGGGGCAAAAGCCGCCACGCGUGGCGUUCCGAGAGUACCCGAAGAAAAAGCAUCGGCUAACUCCGUGCCAGCAGCCGCGGUAAUACGGAGGAUGCGAGCGUUAUCCGGAUUUAUUGGGUUUAAAGGGUGCGCAGGCGGAAGAUCAAGUCAGCGGUAAAAUUGAGAGGCUCAACCUCUUCGAGCCGUUGAAACUGGUGUUCUUGAGAGAGUGAGAGGUAGGCGGAAUGUGUGGUGUAGCGGUGAAAUGCAUAGAGAUCACGCAGAACUCCGAUUGCGAAGGCAGCAUACCGGCGCUCAACUGACGCUCAUGCACGAAAGUGUGGGUAUCGAACAGGAUUAGAUACCCGAGUAGUC